CUACGGGGUGCUGCAGUGAGGAAUAUUGCACAAUGGGGGAAACCCUGAUGCAGCAACGCCGCGUGGAGGAUGACGCAUUUCGGUGUGUAAACUCCUUUUAUCAGAGAAGAAAAUGACGGUAUCUGAUGAAUAAGCUCCGGCUAACUCCGUGCCAGCAGCCGCGGUAAUACGGAGGGAGCAAGCGUUAUUCGGAAUCACUGGGCGUAAAGGACGCGUAGGCGGGUUUUUAAGUCAGGUGUGAAAUCCUAUGGCUCAACCAUAGAACUGCACUUGAAACUGGGGACCUAGAGUAUGGAAGGGGCAGGUGAAAUUAGUGGUGUAGGGGUAAAAUCCGUAGAUAUCACUAGGAAUACCGAAAGCGAAGGCGACCUGCUGGGACAUUACUGACGCUGAGGCGUGAAAGCGUGGGGAGCAAACAGGAUUAGAUACCCGGGUAGUC
rnacentral:rRNA from 1 species